UACGUAGGGGGCAAGCGUUAUCCGGAAUUACUGGGUGUAAAGGGUGAGUAGGCGGCAUGACAAGUAAGAUGUGAAAGCCCGUGGCUUAACCACGGGAUUGCAUUUUAAACUGUUGAGCUAGAGUACAGGAGAGGAAAGCGGAAUUCCCAGUGUAGCGGUGAAAUGCGUAGAUAUUGGGAAGAACACCAGUGGCGAAGGCGGCUUUCUGGACUGAAACUGACGCUGAGGCACGAAAGCGUGGGGAGCAAACAGGAUUAGAAACCCCGGCCGGCUGACUGACU
rnacentral:rRNA from 1 species